UAGAGCUUAGAUAUUUGACAUGAAGCAUUGCCUAGUGGACCUCUACAAAAAAAUUUCAAACAUGACCCUGGGGUCAAAAUUGACCCUGCCCCAGGGGUCACUUGAUUUUACAUAGGAAAAUCUUCAAAAAAUUUCUAAAAAUAAACCAGAAGGCCUAGAUCUUAGAUAUUUGACAUGUAGCUUUGCCUAGUAGACUUCUACAAAAUUUAUUCAAAUCAUGACCCCCGGGAUCAAAUUGACCCCACCCCAUGGGGUUACUUGAUUGUACAUAUGGAAAUCUUCAUAAAUUUGCUUAAAAUAAACCAGAAGGCCUAGGUCUUAGAUAUUUGAUACGUAACAUUGCCUAGUAGACUUCUACAAACUUUGUUCAAAUCAUGACCCCCGGGAUAAAAUUGGCCCCGCCCCAGGGGUUACUUGAUUGUACAUCGGAAAAUCUUCCAAAAAAUUUCUAAAAAUCAUCAGUUUGACAUUUGAAACAUGUAGCUCAUAUUACUCAGGUGAGCGAUCCAGGGUCAUCAUGACCCUCUUGUUUUUAUUAUUAUAAUAAAUGUUUACAAUGUUUUAGAUUGUCCAGGGAAUCUUUAUGUAUGAUUGUAUGUGAUGUAAAUGGACUACAUCAUGACAAAAUGUACUCUAUGACUCAUUGAUGUUACUUCAUAAUUAUCAAAUGGUGUCUUAGUAAUUUUCAAGUCCAUAUUCUUUAUUAAAUUUUUGUGCAGUAACAUGAUUCCCUUGAUGUGGUGGAUGCGUAAUGGUAAUCAGCAGGUCCAUUACCUUUAUACCAGUUUUCUGUUGGAGAAAGUUUAUUGCACAACCACGGAGGGAAUGGGUUUGAACUUGCUUGGGUCAAGACCAUUUCUUAUCACAAGUCCAAUACAAGUCUUUCCUUGAAGCGGACACGGGUGAAAUGAAAUCAAGUUACUGACAUAAAGAUAAAAUUAUAUAAAUUUGUCAAAUACAAGUAAAUAUUAAUUCAAACAUCUUGAAAGUGUUGUUGCAAGAAACCUUUUUGUCAUGAUGAGGUUCAUAUGCCUGAAGGGAAUGAAUCAAAGGAUGCCUUAAUUAAAACAAUGCAUUUUUGCUCAUCGACUCACACCUUGUUAUAUAUAUAUAAAAAAGAAAAACAUCCAAUGGGUUUCCUCUUUCUGUAUUUCUGUCUACCUACCGGUUUCAUAUCAUAAUCAUCAGGGCAGACAUAUAAAAAAUGUGUAGUUGCUACGCAACGUCACGUGUACGCAACGUCAUUUUAUGACGUCAUCAAUAUUUGUUUAGUUUUGGCUUAAAUAUAUCAAAAAAGUAACGUUCCUUAGACAACCUAGAUGAAACAUUAUUAUUAUGAAAUUUAUAAAAAGGAAAAAUUAAAUACUGUGAAUUGUGUGAUCAAUGGCCAAUCAGAUUUUGGAUAGCACUUGUUCUUUUUGGGAGGUAAUUGAUUUAUUUGCUUCUUUGCCAGAUGAUUUGGUUGAUUUCUUUAUUGAUACAUGUACAUGUUUCUGUUUCAAAAUAUACAAUUUUAAACAUUUUUUCUAUUCUUUCUUAUUUCAACAAAAACAAACGCAAACCUAUCCUUAAUCCAUAUUUAGAAAGGGUUGUUUUAUUUUUAGAUGUUGCUAAUUAUAAACAUGAUGUAAUGAAAUAUCAGUUGGGUUAUAUUUUAUGGUUUUGUACAAUUUGUUCAUAUGUUAUGUUGUUUUUCUUUGAGUACAUCUAGCGAUAGAAUUAUCAUUUGUAAAAAAAUAAAAUAAAGAUAAAUACAUUUUA